AGCAGCCGCGGUAAUUCCAGCUCCAAUAGCGUAUAUUAAAGUUGUUGCAGUUAAAAAGCUCGUAGUUGAAUUUCGGGAUUGACGUGAUGGUCGUGCCUUACGGGGUAUGAACUGUCGCAGUUGAUUUCUCACCUUCUGGAGAAGCUCGAUGUCCUUAAUUGGGUGUCUUGCGGAACCAGGACCUUUACCUUGAAAAAAUUAGAGUGUUUAAAGCAGGCAUUUUGCUCGAAUACAUUAGCAUGGAAUAAUAGAAUAGGACGGCAUGGUUCUAUUUUGUUGGUUUCUAGGAUCACCGUAAUGAUUAAUAGGGAUAGUUGGGGGCAUUAGUAUUCAAUUGUCAGAGGUGAAAUUCUUGGAUUUAUUGAAGACUAACUACUGCGAAAGCAUUUGCCAAGGAUGUUUUCAUUAAUCAAGAACGAAAGUUAGGGGAUCGAAGACGAUCAGAUACCGUCGUAGUCUUAACCAUAAAC
rnacentral:rRNA from 1 species